rnacentral:tRNA from 1 species
GUGGGGUUGUGGCUCAGCGAUAGAGCGCUCGCCUUGCAUGUGUGAGGCCCUGGGUUCGAUCCUCAGCACCACA